CACUCCUAUUAAUAUAGGAACCGGAAGUGGAAUGAAAGGUAUGAUCCAUGAGUAUUGAAUAAUAAGCAUCAAGGGAGUUAUAAUUUUGAGGCAUUGAUGGAAUGGUGUUAAAAGAAAAUAAAAUGACAUCAGCCAGCCAUCAAGGGAGUUAUAAUUGUGAGCAGCACCAUCGCCGCUGCCAAACCGCACCCCAGGCGCGGGGCAUCCCCUCAUGGUCGGGUUCACCCGAGUUUGUGAACUCGUAGCCAAUACCGUGAGUGGCUCUUCUCUUUCCGCCAUUGUCGUCGUCCAAGUUGUUUUACCACCUCGCCGGAGCAGAACUCUUCAUCCAGGACCUGGCGGCUGGCGGCUGGCGACACAAAGCUAGAAGCUCUCCCCCUAAUUCAUAACCUAAAAUGCUUACCUCACAUUUCAAUUCAUUCUCAUUUGGUAAGGGUUAUCUUGGGCUGCCAACAAACUUAAAGCCCAAUUUGUUUUUAUAACAAUAAUUUAAUUUCC
rnacentral:lncRNA from 1 species